UACGUAGGGAGCAAGCGUUGUCCGGAAUUACUGGGUGUAAAGGGAGCGUAGGCGGGGAUGCAAGUUGGGUGUCAAAACUACCGGCUCAACCGAUAGUCGCACUCAAAACUGCAGCUCUUGAGUGAAGUAGAGGCAGGCGGAAUUCCUAGUGUAGCGGUGAAAUGCAUAGAUAUUACACAGAACACCGAUUGCGAAGGCAGCUUGCUAGGCCGGACCUGACACUGAUGCACGAAAGCGUGGGGAUCGAACAGG
rnacentral:rRNA from 1 species